CAGAGUUCAUGCCCUUACGGGUAGAUCUCCCACCCUAUGUCAUUAUUACAUCGUUGCUUUGGCGGGCCGCCCGGCCUCGGUCAGGCUACCGGCUCCGCUGGUACGCGCCCGCCAGAGGAAACCAAACUCUGAGUUUAGUGUCGUCUGAGUACUAUACAAUAGUUA
rnacentral:misc_RNA from 1 species